GAAACUACAAACUACACCACCACAGAGCCGUCUGUUACGGAAAGUGACGCAACACUCAAACGGUUGCCUGGCUACGUUCUUGCCUCUCGCCUCCGUUACAGACUGCGUUGCGCAACGACAUCCAGCGACGAGGUCUGGGGCCGCGCCCGUCUUGUUGUCACACACACCCCUUUAUAGCAUCCACGCACGUGUUCUGAGGCAGAAACGGUGUUCAUGGUGUGUCGUCGCACGGUUCCAGCGGCAUCGCGAGAUGUUCAACGUGUUCCCUGUGCGUCCCUUUCUUUCUGGCAUCGGAUGCCUCUUCACUGCACGGAUGAAGUGUGUUGUAAUCCACGUGUUGAUUACGUUCGUGGCUCUUCGUGAAAACUCGGCAAAACGCAAGGAACAGUUAGGCGGAUGACUGGGCUUGACAGAGACCAUGGAGGGACACUGGGAGACACUGCAAGCUAUGAUCUGAGGAUGUCGGGAGGCCAUAAAGCACCGGCAAACUAGACGCGAGCGACCUUCGCACCAUAGCCCUGUGGACGGCCAACAGAGAGCUAAUGUUACUGCCCCAUCACAUGCGUGUGAAGCGACGGAUCACCGCAAUCCAACGGUGGAUCUUGAUCUCCAAGCUUGCAAUAUUCUACCGCCAAGAGAUCCCAGCAUCAGCAGUAACACCGAGGAACUUAUGCACUAUCAGGGAAAGAUCUUUCCUCAACGAACCCAUUAGAGGAGAAAAACAGAGAAGCAGCUCCACAUCUUUGUCACGACACUCAUCUGCAGCAAAGGCACAGAUUCUCCCUGAAGCCUCAGCAUAUGGGUGUGAAAGCUGGAGAUUCAGUACUCUUCCAUUGUGACGCCGCUGAGGCUGGUGGAAAUGAGAAUAUAAGGUGGAUAAAGAGUGAUCAAGUGAUCUGGAGCAACGGUUGCUGGCAUGUGGCAGGACUGGAUCGCUAUUAUGUCUUCGGAAAUGGAACGCUACAGAUCCGAGAUGCAACGAAGACUGACGGAGGGACCUACGAGUGUAGUAUGGCAGGCCGGAUGGAUUCUGCGCCACUAUCUUACCUAUCUUACUCCCUUCGUGUUCACAAUCCACCGCAUGCAAGCAAACCUUCAAGUUCCAAACAGAAUGUCACACAGAACACUGGAACGUCAUCAGCUUCACCUGCACCGUUGCUGGUUGUUCUGGUGUUUGUUCUCAUCUCCACUGAAACUCUGUCGUGAACUCACUUCCAAAAUGCUGGAUCGGCCUAAGAUUAUCACGCUACGGAUUUUCUUAGUUCAAUCACAGCCGAGGACGUUCGUACCAAGUGGAAUGCCUCCGGUGCAAGACCUAUUUAUUGGUGAGGACAUUUCUUGUUAAUACGACUUCAAUUGUGCGUACGUUGUGAUUGAGGUCAUCUCGUUGACCGAGUGCUGUCAAUGUAAGCCAUGCAAUGAUGUAUUUUGGAAUUUCUCUAUCCUCAACGUCCCGAGAUUGAGGUGCUUGGGUUUCAUAAUCUGGACUGUCCAGAUAAAAAAAUAAAAAAAGAAAGAAAAAGAUUGUGAGACGAAAGUGCUAUAAUCCUGUCACACGCUAGAUCGAGGACAACACAAAUGGCGAAUUCGACUUAUUGGUCGAUUUGAAGCAAUAUUUCCUGGGAUCGGAACUGUUAUUUUUUCCGGUUCGGUUCGGGUUCAAGUCCACAGCGGCGCAAAAUAUCUGUUCGAACUGGAUCAGGAAAGUGUAUUUUGAGCAGAUUGCCAUAGGCAAUCCUUACGAUUAUCAAGUACGACAAAUGUACUUUUAUUGUUGUUGCCGACACAGGAAUGGCUCACAGCAACAUUCGUGUUACAGAUCGCCAUUUCAGGUGCAACGCUACGGUAGCAUGUUGUACUCUUUACGUUCACUCAUCGGAUAGUAUACAUCCUUUUACAUCCUGCUCAAGGACUGACCGUUAUUUUCAUAGCCUAAAAUAUUAACGCUACUUUUGCUCCUUUGCUCCAUUAGCACGAUCUCCAACACAAUUGUGCUUAGAAUGCCACUUCAACUUAUAUUUGGUGGCCGAAGCACCCGAUGAAUGAUCGGUGUUGCUUCAACUGGUGAAAUCAAGCACUGCUGGACCGCGACUGAAUGAGCGCAAUAGCUGGAAAGAGGAAAUAGCUCGCGCAGUUGGAGCGUUGCAGUUUUUGUUUGUUUGUUUUUCAGUUUUGGUUUCGAAUUUGUUUGGUAACGCGGCUCAGUACUCUGCGUAAAUCGUACUUUCGAUCUAUCUCAACGCACAUUACGCCUGGACUAUUUCGCGAACCGGGAAUCGCGCCUUUUUUCUUCUUCUUUUCUGUUGCGUUCCCGCUCGGUUCAACGCGAGAAAAAAAAGGUUCGGUUUAGUUACGGUUCAGCAAAAAAUAGGAGUGGUUUUCGGUUCGGGUUCAGUUUAGGUUCCCUGUUUUUUUUUUUAUCUGCUCCGCGGCGGAGAAGCGUGUUUCUCUGGUCGUUUCAGAACAACUCACUCCGCAACGGAGUGCUCCUUCCUGACCCGCCGAGAAAUCUCGAGGGCGGCCGGAACUCCAACGAGGCAUUAUCGUAACUCCAGCUUCUUCAAAGCCGAGCAACAGCAAAUACUGGGCACGCUCGCCGAGUUUGUUGGGUGUAGGCGACCACUUCCGUCUGACUCUUAGCCGGAGCGCGAGGGCUUUUCGAUGGUGGAUUCGGAUCCGGUGCUCCCGUGUCGGUUUUUGCUGCUCUGUAUAGCCGAUUUGGGUGCUUGUUUCUGGUCGACCUGAAGAAUCCGCCAAAUGUAUUAACGGUGUAAUUCAGUUAAGCCUUUCAGUGGCUUGGGUUUCAGGAACCUCACUGGCAGAGUGGGGUAAUUUAUUGGCAAUGCCGCUCGCUGCAUAGGGACCACAAAGAUUACUGUUGCUGUGCUCUAUGGAACAACAGCCUAUAUGGUAGCACAGGACUACAGGAGAACUAUGAUUUUAAACUGCACAACAACAAAACAUGUGCCUUUUUACCUGAUUGUGUAGAACAGCAGCACUUGUUCAUUUUUAGCACACUUCGUUAUGUAGGCUUCAUGAUGGUAAUUGUUACAAUAGGAUCUGUUUGCAAUACUGUUCAUUGGGCAAAUAUUAGUGUAACAUGACAUGGCUGGCAUGUCUUGGUGUAUGUUGGAGUGUGUGCGAAUGAAAUGGUACUACGUGUACUAGAUGAUCCAGGAUUAUAUUUGGGACAUAAAAUGAAAUCGCAAGAGGUGAGGAGCAAUACUAAUAUUGGGUAGGAAAAGAAGAUAAUUCCAUUAACAUUCAUUAACAUCACAUCAAUGGCAUGACAUUAUGAGACUGAAUAUUCUUCAAACCACGUACAACGUGAAAAGUACAGUCACUGAAACACUAAUAUGCUCACUUGACUUUUUUCAUUGUUCAAUCCCAUAUUUAGUGAUACUGUAUCUGAUAGAUGGAUUGAUUGAUUGAAAAAUAUGGUACCUGAGGUUGACUUCACCUGUAAGGUGUACCGGGUGUAGCGCACCAUGGCUGCUGUGUAUGUGAUGAGCAUUUUCAAUGCUGGGUUGAAACAAAAA